GACGAACGCUGGCGGCGGGCUUAACACAUGCAAGUCGAACGGAAAGGCCCUGCUUUUGUGGGGUGCUCGAGUGGCGAACGGGUGAGUAACACGUGAGUAACCUGCCCUUGACUUUGGGAUAACUUCAGGAAACUGGUGCUAAUACCGGAUAGGAGCUCCUGCUGCAUGGUGGGGGUUGGAAAGUUUCGGCGGUUGGGGAUGGACUCGCGGCUUAUCAGCUUGUUGGUGGGGUAGUGGCUUACCAAGGCUUUGACGGGUAGCCGGCCUGAGAGGGUGACCGGACACAUUGGGACUGAGAUACGGCCCAGACUCCUACGGGAGGCAGCAGUGGGGAAUAUUGCACACUCGGCGGCAGCCUGAUGCAGCAACGCCGCGUGCGGGAUGACGGCCUUCGGGUUGUAAACCGCUUUCGCCUGUGACGAAGCGUGAGUGACGGUAAUGGGUAAAGAAGCACCGGCUCACUACGUG
rnacentral:rRNA from 1 species